GGCAACUCUUUGGAGAAAAACAUCCAUGGCAACCAGCCAACCAACGUUGAUUGGAAAAUGGAAAUGUACUGGUCCCGGUACUCUUGUUCAAAGCAAAAAUGAAUUUGACUUCUCCUUUAGUGCACAUUUUCAUGAAUCCACGGAGGAUUCACAUUUCUAUAAGCGGGGAAGUACUCCAAUUAUUGCAAGGUGUAUUAUAAUUUGCCUCUCCAGCCUAUCUUUGGGGUUUGUGAUAGUUCUACAAUGGCAAAAAUUGCAAAAGAUCUUCAUGUAAUGAUGCUUCCGUGGUCUGCCUUUGGUCACCUGAUUCCAUUCUUUCAUCUCUCCAUAGCCUUGGCCAAAGCCGGAGUUAAAAUCUCCUUUGUAUCAACUCCAAGAAACAUCCAAAGACUCCCUAAAAUUCCUGCAAAUUUAGAGACACUCAUAAACUUUGUGGAGUUUUCAUUGCCAACCUUAGAAGAGGAAUCCCUACCAGAAGGAGCAGAGGCCACUGUUGAUAUUCCUCCUGAGAAAAUCGUGCCCCUGAAGAUUGCAUAUGAUCUCCUCCAACACCCCUUGAAGCAGUUUGUAGCCGACCAACGGCCUGAUUGGAUUGUCAUCGAUUUAAUUUCUCACUGGAUGGUGGAUAUUGCCAGAGAAAACAAAGUUCCUUUGUUGUAUUUCUCUGUUUUCUCUGCUUCUUCAUAUCUUUUUCUCGGCCAUCCUCGGUGCUUGGCCGGUGAUAGUCAAAAGAAGCUUCGGCCGUCAUGGGAGAGUAUGACUUCACCACCAGAGUGGGUUGACUUUCCUUCAUCCGUAGCUUAUCGGAAGUACGAGGCUAUCGGUGCUUUUGAAUGGAUCUAUGGAACAAAUGCUUCUGGUAUAUCAGAUGCUGAAAGGGUUGCCAAAAUAUUGAAUUCCUGCCAAGGCUUGAUUAUACGUAGCUGCCUGGAGUUUGAAGGUGAUUACUUGAACUCAUUGCACAAGGUAAUGGGAAAACCAGUACUUCCUUUGGGUUUGUUACCGCUAGAGAAACCAAAAACAAGAGAAAUCAGUGAUGGUUCAUGGGGUGAAAUCUUUAAUUGGCUUGAUCACCAGAAGCCCAAGUCGGUUGUUUUUGUAAGUUUUGGUAGCGAGUUUAAGCUAAGCAAAGAUCAAGUUUACGAGAUUGCCUACGGCCUAGAGCUAUCGGGAUUGCCAUUUUUGUGGGCACUAAGGAAACCCAGUUGGGCAAUUCUUGAUCUUGAUGCUUUGCCUCUGGGAUUUAGCCAACGAACAUGUGGAAAAGGGUUUGUUAGCAUCGGAUGGGCACCACAGAUGGAGAUUUUGGGACACCCAUCAAUUGGAGGGUCAUUGUUUCACUCAGGUUGGGGCUCUGUUAUUGAAACUCUGGAAUUUGGCCACAUUCUUAUUCUGUUACCAUUUAUCAUUGAUCAACCAUUGAAUGCAAGGUAUUUGGUUGAGAAGGGUUUGGGUGUGGAAGUAGAGAGGAAUGAAGAUGGAUCAUUUAGCAGGGAUGGCAUUGCCAAGGCUUUGAGACUAGCAAUGGUGUCGGAGGAAGGGAAAGAAAUGAGGGCACGUGCAAGUGAAGCUGCAGAGAUUUUUGGAAAUCACAAGUUGCAUCAGGAAUAUUAUAUUGGUAAAUUUGUGGAGUUCCUGAGAGGUUGAGGAAUAUCGAAAGAUUAUAAAGGCUUUUGUUAGAGGAUAUGGAAAUGGACUUGGAACACCUCCCGGGAAUAUCCUUGUGUUUUUAUUUAUUUAUUUUUGUCGAAUACACUUAUUUUCCUUUCCCUUCCCACUUUCUCGUCAUUUGAAAUGGGUUAAAACUGUUCGCCUUUUAGAUAUUCCACGACAUUCCAUAUUGAAAGUGAUGAUUGUUGAUAAUUAAUUGCACACUCAUAGCUAAUUUCAUAAUUCGCUUUGCGAAAAAAAUUAUCCCAAAUGGAGAAAUUUUGGAACUUUU
rnacentral:misc_RNA from 1 species